UCGAGAAUAUUCCACAAUGGGCGAAAGCCUGAUGGAGCGACGCCGCGUGCAGGAAGAAGGUCUUCGGAUUGUAAACUGCUUUUCUAUGGGAUGAAGUUAUUGACAGUACCAUGGGAAUAAGGGGUUGCUAACUCUGUGCCAGCAGCAGCGGUAAUACAGAGACCCCGAGCGUUAUCCGGAUUUACUGGGCGUAAAGCGCGGGUAGGAGGUUUGGUGCGUCUAUUGUAAAAGCUCUUCGCUCAACGAAGAAUAGGCAAUAGAUACGGCCAAACUAGAGGACGUCAGAGGUUAAUUGGAACACACGGUGUAGGGGUGAAAUCCGUUGAUAUCGUGUGGAACACCAAAGGCGAAGGCAAAUAACUGGGACGUUUCUGACUCUAAACUGCGAAAGCGUGGGGAGCAAAAAGG
rnacentral:rRNA from 1 species